CUUCAGGUACAUAAACAAACAGUAAUUUAAGCUGCGUUAAAAAUAAGGAUCUUGGGAGUUCCAGUCGCGGCUCAGUGCUUAACAAAUCUGACUAGGAACCAUGAGGUUGAGGGUUCAAUCCCUGGCUUUGCUCAGAGGGUUAAGGAUCCGGCAUUGCCCGGAGCUGUGGUGUAGGUCACAGACGCGGCUCGGAUCCCGCAUUGCUAUGGCUCUGCUGGCCUACACCACAGCCACAGCAACGCCAAAUCAGAGCCACAUCUGUGACCUACACCUCAGCUCAGGGCAACGUCAGAUCCUCACCCACUGAGCGAGGCCAGGGAUCAAACCUGCAUCCUCAUGGAUGCUAGUCAGAUUCGUUUCCACUGAGCCACAGCGGGAGCUUCUUGGGAGAUGGAGUUUAAUUGUAAAAUUUAAGAGAAAGUCUCUUAGCCCUAUUUUACUUACUUGAGAAAUAUACAGUAAACAUAUACCACAUUUUAGUCACAGUUUGGAUCACCAGUGAUGCCAUAGGGAAUAAGACAAAAGUCUUUGGCUCACAAAGCUCAUAUUUUAAUGGGAAAGAUAGAUAAUAAGCAAAUAAAUGUAUAAUUUCAGGAAAGAAUAAGUGCUAUGAAAAAAACCAAAGCAGGGUAGAGUAGGGUAAAGGUGGGAAACUAUUUUAGAUAUGAUGGUCAGUGUAGGUUUUUCUAAAAAUGUGGUAUUUGAGUAGAAACCAGAAUAAAGAAAGAAUGAACAUGCCAAAUUCUAGAGAAAGACCAUUCCAGGCAUAGGUAAAAAAUGUCCUCAGGCCCUAAGGUAGGACUUAGCCUAGUGGGUCCUAAGAAAAAAAGAGAAUGCUUUAUGAACUUUGACAAUCUUCAAAAUCCUGAAGUGUUAGGUAGAGACAGGCCCAUAUUAAUGUACACUUGUUUGCUUUAUUCAACCUGUAGGGCUGGAGAACAUUAAGGCACCUUACAAUAUGACUUCCAGUCUUAGAUUGUAGGAUGUAUUCAUGCCACUUUUGAUUUUAGUAGCAUCAUAAAAGGACUAAAUGCCUUCAGACAGUGAGUGACGUAGGACUGAAUCUAUUCUCCUAAGACCUGAAGUUUACUCCUCUGAAAGUGUUUUAAGAAGGAAUGCCACAAGACAGUUAAAGCACGCCAGUGAGUGAUGCAGGGUGACUGAGAGGGCAAGAAGAAAGAUGAAAGCAUAGCACUGUAGGUGUGACUUUAUUUUCAGCCUUCCUCCACUUAGAAAGCAUCUGCCCUCACAGUCACCUGUAGGCACCUCCUACCCACUGGUUUAACUGAUCUUGUGCCUUGCAUAAAUAUGAGGGGUGUCUAUUGUAAUGUUGUAAUUUGUAAUGCUGUUCUGCCACUGGAGCACUGAUUGUUCUGAAAAUACUGACAUUUCUUAUGUGACAGCCAUCUUUCUUUAAAAGUUUUAUGAAAAUAAAACAUUAAACCACAAUUUUUGAGAUACUUGGAUUUGCUAUCUCCUCAAUGGAAGCCUGUGGAAAGCCAUUUUGUAAAACACAUAUUCAGGUCCUAAAUUUGUCAUAUCUUCAGAAUUUUGAAUAUUGGGUGUUUAUUGUGACUGGCACCUGUAGAAAUAGAUUGUUCUCCCAUAUUCUCUUUGGUAUUGCAACAUGAAAGACACAUUCAUCCCUUACCCUGUUUUGUGUGCCAGAGAUUGUUUAAGUCCUCAGAUAUAUAGAAUAGCAGAGGGGAUGAAGUCUAUUAGUAACAUUCAGAUAUAUAGAAUAGCAGAGGGGAUCCAGAUAUAUAGAAUAGCAGAGGGGAUGAAUCCAGAUAUAUAGAAUAGCAGAGGGGAUGAAGUCUAUUGGUAACAUUGUAGUUAUAAGGUGCAAUCUGAACUUUACUUUGUUUAUGCACAGAUACCACCGUCAUUUACUUUAUGCCUUUACAAAAGUAACUGAAAAAAUAGUUCUUUACUAUCUUUUGUAAAAGACUACCUUUGUUAGUACAUGUCAUAAACUGCAGCCUGUAGUAUUGGACUCUGUUAUAGAAUGUUUAGAAAUAGCUGGAUCCCUGAAGGAUACCUUUAGAUUCUAAGGGGAAAAAAAGAAUGUCGUAAGGCGUCACCAGAUUUUUUUUUCUUCUAAAUCAGUAUUUAGAGUAGGAAGAACACAUGGAUUCUGAAACAAAAAUAUCGUUUCCUUACUCAAAGUUUACUACUACCUUCCCUUCCCCAAAUUAAAAAAAAAAAAAAAAA
rnacentral:lncRNA from 1 species